GCCUUCGUGGUGCAAUGGCACGCUCGGCCCGUAUUCGAGAAGUCCGUGGUUCGAGUCCCACCGAGGGCA
rnacentral:tRNA from 1 species